GGAAAGGUCACACACAGACUCACUGGUAUAAGCAGGCCUGCUGACUUGUAGAUAUGAUCCAUACCACUAUUAUACCAUGCUGCCUUGUCAUUAAAUUCUUUUCUACAAUUUCCUCCUAGAAUUGGCUAGGCUAAGUACUGUCUCCCAUCUUUAUAGAAAGCUUUUACCACAGAGAACACCUUGUACAUGCUGUUCACUAGUGUAAUUGCAGUCACUAUAUAUGUAACCAGAUAUGGGCAGAGAGCAGGUCUUCUUUGUUGCUCCCAUUGAACACAAUGAGUAGGAGCUCAAUAAAUAUUUCAUGGGAUCAUAGGAUUUAUUUGUUGAAUGAAUGAAUUUGUGAAUUAAUAUAUAGCCCUCUGGGUAGCUAGGUAGUACAGUGGAUAGAGCACUGUGCAUGGAAUCAGAAAGAUUCAUCUUCAUAAGUUCAAAUCUAGCAUCAAGAUACUUAUAAACUGUGCAACUAGGCAAGAGUCUUAAACCCUGUUUGCCUCAGUUUCCUCAUUUGUAAAAUGAGAAGGAAAUGGCAAACCACCCCUGUAUCUUUGCCUAGAAAACCCUAAAUGGAGUCACAGAGAGUCAGACACAACUGAAAAAUGAUUGAACAACAAAAAUAGUUUCCUGAAUGCAUAUAGAAAGCUUACUUUCUUCCUCUAAAGAGACACAAAAUCUAAAGUCAUAGAUAAUCUCAGUUAUCUACAUGUGGACUAUUAGUGGUGAAUAUUUAAUACCAAAUUGGCUUUUCCUUGUCAUUCAGUGAAUUUCUAAGGAAGCUCCUCUUUUUAUUAGUUGGUUUAUAACAAAAAGAUUGAAAAUUAAUUAAAAGAUUUGCUUAAGCAAAAACUAUUUAGGAAGGUAAUUCUGCUGUGAAAAUAACCUUCCCUAUAAACAUAUUUCAGGUACCUUUUCUAUUUUAUACUAUUUGGGAUUAUCCAUGGCACUUUUCCAUUUGUAGGAAUAAUCAAGAAUCAACUGUCACUUUUCUACAUUAUUUUUGCAGUUAAAAUAUGGAAGUUAAAACACAACAGAUGGAAACAAGGUACUUGACAGAGUUAAAUGUGGGUUGCUCGCUUCUUCUUGUAUUUAUUCUACUCUCUUUAAAGCUAAUUUGUCUAGAAUUCUAUUAGUCAGAAUCCCAUCAAUCAGCACUUCUGCCUUUCUAGAAUCAAUAAUUAUUGAUGUCUCAGAUGAUGACCGUGAGAGAUUGCAAUAUCUUCCAAUGGCUUCUGAAUCAUCAAAGAAAAAUUAAAUUAUAUUUAGCAUAGUCUUCAUAUUACAUGUAUUUCUUUAUAUUCCAAUUCUUUGAAGACUAGCAAUCCAUGUAUAAGGUUAACUGGAAUACUUAAAGGAUUGGAACUCCCAUUCUCUAGUUAUCCCAGAUGACAGGGUUUAUUGUGUCAUGUGUUGCUAAAUAACAACAACAACAACAAAAAGACCAUUCCUACUUAGUUCAGGGCCUAGACUCUAGGUUGUCGAUUUAAGACUUUGCUAAUUAAAUAAUUGUUCACUGUAAAAACUCAUCCAGAUUCCAACCCUAUAAAUCAUUUGACAUAACUGAUAAUGAAAAUGAACACCAUUUUGGAUUUAAUGGAUGCUGGGGAGGCUUCUUCUUUAUACAUGAUGAUUUGAUUUUCCCUACUAGCAGUAAAAGACUUUCUUUUUAAAGGAAGCAAAACUUUUCAAGGGUCUUUUCUCCCUCCCAAUAUAUGCACACACACAUGUGUGUGCAAUAUAAUGAAGGCCUGAGGGACAAUAUUAGCACUUCUAAAAAAGAGUACCAGGAAUUUUAGUUUUUACUCUGGCAACUGGAGGCUGAGGAGAGCUCUCCUUUCAUGUUUGUUUUCAGUACAUAAAAUGAUUGAAAUCAAUUUUCCAGAGAGGGAAAGGGAAAGAGUGAUAAAGAAAUGGAAAAUGUUGCAGAAUUUUCAUUUGCUUCAUCAUCUGACCCAUGAGUCAAGCGAGCUGCUAGAAGUGUCAUAUUCACAGAGGAGACGAGUCCUCUAAUAUUUUUCACUGGGGUUGAAGAGGACCAAAAUGAGUUAGGAGCUCCUUGCAGAUAUUUCUGCUCUCCCUCCCCAUCCUCUAGGAGGGAGCCAGAUAGUAAGCUGGGUCAUCUUCCCAAAGGUGCAGCAGGGGUCCUUGUUGACCUGCUGAAUCAGAUCUGUAGAUUGUGCGUGAGUGUAUGAAGAAGUAUUAGAGCCAAUGGUCAUAUGCUACCGAAGGAUGAUGCAAUACUCAAAGUUCUCUACACUCAACAGUGGAGCAAAGUCUCGAAGGGAGCAUUGGGAAAAAACCUUUUCAGUGGGGCUUUGGAAGCACAUGAGAACCCACACACACAGGGAUCUGGCUUACCAUUUCUAUGGCACCCUAACCUCAGAUCCUGAGCAUUAUUUUAUUUUAAUAACAAAGUUCCACAUAAGUUUUCCCAAGUUUGUGUGAUUCCUGUUGUCUCCCUCCCUUCUUGCUUCCCCUCUCCCAGAGUUGACAAGCAAUUCUAUCUGGGCAACAUAUUUCCAUAUUAUUCCUUUUUGUGAGUGAAUAAUCUUAUAAAAUGAAAACUCCAAAUCAUAGGCUCAAAUGAACAAGUGCUUUUCUUCUGUGUUUCCGCUCCCACAGUUCUUUCUCUGGAUGUGGAUAGCAUCUUUCUCAUAAGUCCCUCAGAAUUGUCCUGGAUUGCAUUGCUGUUAGUAGAGAAGUCUAUUACAUUUGAUCAUUCCACAGUAUGUCAGUUACUGCACCAUCUACUUUUAAGAUGACAUUUUUAAAGAAGAAAUUAGGCUAGGGAAGGGUGCUUAGAGAAUGUACAUGUAUAUGUUAGAGGCAGUGAAAUUCAAUUUAAGUCAACAAUUAGAUUGCUUUAUUAAACACUUCCAGGCCCCUGCUAAAUUCUGGAAAAACAAAAACAAACAAGCAAAAAACAGAACAGUCCUUGGCCUCAAGGAGUUGCCAUUCAAUUUAUUUUUUUUCCUUUUAUUUGGCAUUAAAUGUUUUCACUGAAUAGCCAAAUGACCAUGCAGUUUGGGGGUUAAGGUAUGUGAGAGAGAGAAACUCAGGAAGAAAACAGUAGACUAAAUGUAGUUCUUUUAUACAAUUUUGCUUCAGGAUGCCAGAUUUAAAUUUGAUGGCAUCAUGGUUAAAUUGAUGUGAUUGAGAAGUAGGGAAAGAAAAUUGUACAGAGGAGGAAAAUACAUAGAGUCCACGUACUAGGGAGAAGUAUUAGGUACUGCCUUUUAUAAAAGGAGUAAUUUCUCCCUCUUUUCCUUGAGGACAGUGAAUGGGGCUUAAUAAACAGGAGAAAAAAACAAAUGGACAGAAAAGAUUUUUCCAUUUGGCUAUAGUGAGAGUCAUUUGGAGUUUUAUUGACAAGAGUGUCAAGGUAGUGGUACAGAUGAAUAUGAGUGCAUGGAAGAUGAGAUGCGUUAAACGGGAUAACCAAUUUCAGGUGUGGAAAACAGAUUAUGGGAUGUCUCCCACUGUGGGAUUCUUUAUUACCUGAUAUUCCCAUCACUAGCAUCCCUUUUCAAGGAAGUCUUGCUGUCUCACAAAUACCACAUUUAUUCCUGCUUUACUAUCUUGAUUUAUGUGGUUUUCUUCAUCUGUAAUAUUCCCUCUUCCAAUCUAUCCUUCAAACCUCAGAGCACACUUACCUUUUUCAUGAAGUUAUCACUUAGGAGCCAGCAUUCAUUGGACAAUCAGUCAACAAACAUUAAUUAAAUGUUAUAUGCUAAGCUCUGGGGAUACUGAGUCAAACUGAAGCAAUCCCUUCCCUCAAGGAGCUUACCUUCAAAUGGGCUAACAGAUCCUUAUUUAAAGGUACAGAGACUAUAUACCUAAAAAGUACAAGGUAGUUUGGAGAAAGAAGACACUGUUUCUAAGGCAUCCUAACCUCGAGAUUUUAAUAUUUCUUUCAGGCUAUGUUGCCAAACUAUCAGGGCUUCCAUGUUCAAUUGAAGGAAAUGGUUGUUGUUGAGAUGUUUUCAGUCUUGUACAAGUUUGUGGCCCCAUUUAGGGUGUCCUUGGCAAAGAUACUUGAGUAUCUUUCCAUUUCCAUUUCCAUUUUCAGCUCACUUUACAGAUAAGGAAACUGAAUCAAGAAGAGUUAAGUGCACUUGCCAGGGUCAAAUACCUCUACCCAUGAAGAUGAGUCUUUCUGAUUCCAAGCCCAGUGCUCUAUCCACAGGGCCACUUAGAGAGAAAUUUAAAGGCUUCAUUUCUGAACUUCAGGAAUACUCACAGAGUAUAUCAUAUAAUCAAGAUCUUAACUAUAUUCCACCUUCUAUUGUUUGGUUGAUUUCACAUGUUACUCUCAAGUCCUUAACUGAAUUAUAAACUCCUUAUGGGCAGGGAUCUAUCGUGUACAUCCUAUCCUCUGGUUUUUCUGUAUUUCCCAUAGUAUCUAACAUAGGGCUCCUAUAAAGUACUCCAAAAAUGCAAGUUAAUUAAUUGAUUGAUGGUUUAGGAGAGUCCUGCGAAGUUAGAGCUCUCCAAGAAUGAUAUAAGGAGCCAAAUGAUUACAAAACAUUCUGUAAUGUAUCCACAAACUACACACCCUCUUCACCUUAUCCCUUAAGUGCUACUUGGCUGGAAAUAAUAAGCAUAUCCUGUUUUAUGAGAAGAGAAGUUUCGAGCUAAGGCCAAAGGAGUAAAUAUGAGAUUGUAGAAUCAUAGGAUGUUGAGAUCAUAGGAAUUAGAGCUGGAAGGGGCCUUAGGAAUCAUCUAAUCCAACCCUCUCAUUUUGCAGAUGAGAAAAUGGGCCCAGGGAACUAAAGGGUCUUGUCCAAAGUGAAAUGACUUUGAGUUAGGAAAUAGCAGAUAGGAAGAGCUUCCUUAAUUCUCCAGAGGCCCAGAGAGCCCAGCUCAGUCUUGGCAGCAGGGUGGACUAGUUAGCCAACCAGUGAUCCUAAGGGUUAAGGUGGGGGAGCUACUGACAGAAAUGUAAACAAAACCAGGAAAGUCUAGAAGGAAUUAUUUCAUGCCACACUAAUUGAAUAAUGUGAGAUUAUGGACCUGUCAAUUACCUCAUCUGGACACCAGAUUCUCAUGUUGUGUUGAAGAAUGGGCUGUAAGUAAGCUUUUCUAAAGAGCAGAAAGGGGAGCGGGGAAGGAAAGAAUCCCAGCUCUCAUUCUUGAUCUUUUUGGUUGGUCAUAGUGGAAAAUUAACCAAGGCAGGUACCAUUGGUAACAAGGAUGACAGAAUUGUCUUUUGCACACUCUAUUCUAGUUCAUUACAAUCUGCCAUUUACUUUAUAUCAAGGAUUAAGUUGAUCAAAUUGCUUCCUGGCAUGAGAAUUAGCUCAGUGGGAAUGGCACAUGGGGCAGAUAUGGGUUGUUAGUGGGAGAGAGGAGGAUGAGAGGUUUGAAGCACUGAGCUGCCUGCUGUCUACCUAGAUCCAGGUGAAGUAUUAUGAUAGGGAGACCUGGACAACCAAAGAUAGACAUGGAGGUACCAAGCACAUUGACCAAGGAGGUAUCAUAGAAGAACUAAUAAAACAGAGUUUGUUGAUUCACAAUUGGGCUCCAUAUUUGGGGACUACAUAUACAGUGUUUCUUUAAAAGAAACAUUUAACUAUCAGAUGAUAGUAAUAGCCACUCAUUGCUGAGUUCAUUCUAUCAUUUUCAAUAUGCUUCACUGAGGUGAAAGCAUUAAGUAUGUGUUGCACUCUCUGUGGUUAAUAGAAGGUUCCAGAUCCAUGUUGGUGAAUCUAUGGUACAUGUGCCAGAAGGGGCUGCUCCCCUCCUCCUCUCCACAAAUGCUUAAGAACAUUUUUCUCAUCACCUGCCCCUCUGUCCAGUAGUCCAAUGGGAGCGCUUCCUCCCUCCCCCAUCUGGGGUAAGGAGGGCGGCUCACAUGCAGCAUGAGGGUUGCAGUUUGGGCACUCAGUCUCUAAAAGGUUCACCAUAACUGUCCUAGAUCUUCUAUCCCUCAUCUUUGCUUCUCAUAUUGGGUAGAACCACUCAUUAUCUCAGAGUGUAUGAAAUUUGUGGCUGUUUCCAAUUAGUACUAAGAAAAAAUAGCCUGUAAUAGACAAUUGAGAACAAUCCUCAAAGCUAGGAAGAUUUAGGUUUAGUUCUGCUUUCUGAAAUAUACUUUCUAUAUGUAUUAUGACCUUGCACAUGUAAUUUAAAUCUCUCAGAGUUCUAGACAACUCUCUAAAUUGCAAAAGAAGUGGUAAUCUGUUUUGGUAGCAGGAGUACUUCACCUGGGAGUUCCCUGUAUCAGUGAAAUCAUAGCUCUAGUGUCUUUCCUUAUCUAAGCCCUUUACUCUCCCACCUCCAACCCCCACUAGAAAAUCUGACUCUUUUUGAAUUCGCUUUAUCUAAAAGAAUGCUAGUCAAGUGACCUUGAAAUGAGAGAGUUGGUUACCCACAGAAACAGACACAUUUGCUGGAAUAUGUAUUUGUUGCUAAUUAGCCUAGAGACAAUAGGUCAAUAAACAAUGUUGGGGCAUCUGGGUAGCUCAGUGGACAGACUAGAGGUACUGGGUUCAAAUCUGACCUCAGACACUUCCUAGCUGUAUGGCCCCAGUAAAUAACUUAACCAAUUGCCUAUCCUUUACUGCUCUCCUGGUUUGAAAUCAAUAUCACUAUUGAGUCUAAGACAGAAGGUAAGGUUCAUAAAUUAGAAACAAAUAGUGCUUAAUAACCAAAGGGCACAAUGCAUACUCAACUAUAUAAGCACCUACUAAGUAACUGAAAAGCCCAUCACUCCCUUGGACCUGGACUCCAGACAUAGGAUGAAUCUGGUCCGUGGAAUUCUACGAGAUUUAUAGUUUAGGUGCUCCCUGGAGCAGACAAAAGGUGUAAAAUAAUAGAGUUACUUCAAGUUAUUUGACUCAUAUUUCCUUUGAGACUGGUCAUUAGGCCAGUCAAAGUUAAGCUUUUACUAUGUGCCAGGCAUUGUACUAAGCUCUGGAUGCAGCCAAGUGUUUAGUGUAGCAAAGAGAACUCUGAAAUCAAGCUUUCACCUCCUCUAAACAUGGCAGCUGGAAUAGAAGAUCUGGUGAAUCCUGGGACUAAGACUGCAACUUCCAACGUGGUCUUGCCACAGCGUAACCAUCAUGGAGCAGUCAGUGGAAUUAAGCAACGACUCCGUUCUUGCUUCCCUGUCAUGUGUCCCUGUAUCCCUUUGGUUGUGACCUUGACCAUCCUUCUCCACUGCCAUUUUAGGGCUGACUUCCUCUCUUGCUUCCCCAGUCUAAAGCCCCUUUGGCUUCUCACAGUGACAUGGGGAUAAGGAGGAGGAAGGGGGAAUUGCAGUUUGAGGCUCACCAGCAGACUACAAAAAUGAACAGGGGACCAUAGCUUCAGAAGCAGCUAGGUCAGGCAAUAGAUAGAGUGUAGGGCCUCAAGUCAGGGAGAUGCGUAUUCAAAUCCCACCUCAGACACAUACUAACUGGGCAACUCUGAGCAAGUCAUUUAACCCUCUCGCUUCAGUUUCCUCAUCUGUCAAAUGAGCUGGAGAAGGAAAUGGCCAACCAUCAUUCCAAUAUCUUUGCCCAAAAGAACUCCAAAUGGGGUCACAAAGAGUCAGAUUAGAGCUAGAAAAGACCUGAGAGAGAAUCCAGUCCAGGGGCCUUAACUUGAGGUCCAUGAACUUGGUUUUUAAAAACAUUUUGAUCAUUAUAUUUUGACAUCAUUGGUUUCCUUUGUAAUCCUCUGUUUUUUAUUUCGUGGAUUUAAAAUAAUUAUUCUGAGAAAGGGAUCCAUGACACAAAGAAGAUUAAGAGCUCCUGAUUCUAGUCUAACCCCUUCAUCUUAGAAAUGAGCUCAGAAACAUUAAAUAAUUGGCUUAAGGUUAUCCAGGUAUGUUUCAAACUCGGGUCCUCUGCCUCCAAAUCCAGCCAUUGUACCAUGCUGCUUCUAUUUUUUAUUGUGUAAGAAUUAUCUAAAGGUCACAUCUUUAAUUCUUGUCCCUCCCCAUCUCAAAGAAAGAAAGAAAUUGUUUCCAAAGUUUUCAUUGGUUUCUAGAGGAAAACAGUCCAGUUUUUGACAGACAGUAUUUAGGUUAGAGGCGGAUUCUUGGAAGUCUCUAAAACCAUUGAGGCAAAGACAGAGGUUUGGCCUUCUCUUUCAGUGUACUAUAUGUUUUCUUCCUGGUCAGAAACAUUAAUAGCAUUUUCCCAGAUGUUUCAGUCUAUAUGGAAAUCCCCUUAAGCAAUUUCAAUAGUCCACUUGGAUGCCAAUCCUUUGCCAGGAUUCAAGUUAAUAUGGAAAAUGGGCCCUUCAAAAGUGAAUUUUACCCCUCUGAAUUGUCCCUGCUCUCAUCCUCUUGAGCACGUAGACAUAAUUCGAGUAUUCAUCUUUCUAUCUUGAAAUUUAAAUUAUUGGGAGAGCAUAGCUCAGUACUCUGACACUAAUUGUACUUGUCACAUGCAAUUUUUUGAUAUAGAAGGACUAAUAUUGGGGAAUCUGUAUCAUAUAUUCUAUUCUGUCUUCCAUCUUAAACCUAGGGCUUUGCCUGCUGACUCUAGUUUUUCCCCAGCUUUUUAUUCAACGCAGCCCAACUCCUCCCUGCCAGCUUCUGUUUUUACUUAACCUGAGGUCAAGGCUCUUUAGGGUGAGGAACAAUGAAAAAGGAAAUUAUCGAGAUGGUUUUGAGCUAGAAAGUAGUAGAAACUGGUUGUGUCCUGAAUUUCUGGAAAUCUGUGCAGUUCUUUUCUUUCUAGGAAGCUAAAAAAGCAUCGCGACGUAGACGUUCCUCUUCUAGUUACUCCCCAAGAGUUAGUCAGAGGGUAGUUUCAAAAUAAUUUGAUCUGGGAAUAAGUGAUUAGCAUUUAACUUCUUUAAUGGCCAAUUAUUCACCAGCUAUGCCAGUGAGUAAAUCAUUAGUCAUCAUCUCUUCUGAAGAGUAAAUGUUUACUUGAGUAAAACAGUUAUUUGUAUUCGGUUUUAACUUGUGGAAAAAGAAUGGAGGGAGCACUUUCUUGGUCAGGUGUGAGUUGGUUGAAGGAUGUUCAAAAAAGACUUGGUUGAAUUCAGAUGAUGUGCGGUGUGCAGAGAUCUGCCUAGCCCAACUCUGUUCUGGACCCUUGUUCACUUCAGAUCCGGCUGCCCUAAAUUCUGCUUUCUCAAACUAAAUAAAUCAAAUCAACUCCUUAGUAAUAGGUCGGUGCCAGUCUUCUGUUUACCGGGAAGUUGCUUGUUUCUAGGCAAUGGGGAUGCAAGUCAGUGCUCGAACAAAACCACCAUACUUAACUGCCUUUUCUUUGAAAAUGUUUUGUAAUUGGUCUUAAUUGAGAUGGAAGAAUGUUGGAGUUACCUAGACUGGUAGAAGCCUAGAACAUGAAGAGAUUUGGCAGUGGUCCAUUUCUGGGUCUGCUUUGCCAACAAUUUUUUUUAACGUACCAUAUUGUAGGCAAAGUCUAGGUUGACUGAUAGCCAGGUGGCCCAGUGGACAGAGCACUGAACCUAGAAUUAGGAAGACCUGAGUUCAAAUAUGACUUCAUACACUCCCUAGCUGCAUGACCCUAUGCAAGUUUCUUCACUUCUCUCUGCCUCAGUUUCCUCAUCUGUAAAGUGAGAAUAGCAGUAACACCUACCUUCCAGGAUUGUUGGGAGGAUAAAAUGAGAUAAUAUUUGUAAGAAUGCUUCGUAAACCUUAAAGUGCUAUCUAAGUGCUUGAUAUUAGCAUUAAUAGAGAGUCCAUAUACAUAUAUGUGUGCACACAUAGCAAACAGCAUCUGGCAUGAAGACUCCAUUAAGAGAGCCGGAUAAUAGCUACCAUUUCUGGUCCUGUCAGUUCAAACGAGUAAAUUUUAAUCAACAGACCGGAAGCCAAUUUAGAAGCUGAAAUGUGAGCCGAGGGCCAGCCAAAGGUCAGUCCCCUUCGCCAUGGUACUAAUGGCCCAGGUGUGGACGAACCACCAGCCACCAACGGAGAACCUUGGCUUGGAGCUGGACUGUUAGAUCAAAGAUGUUUCCGCUGGGAUCCUUAUGAGAGGGAGCUGACUCCAGGGCUGCAGAGAGCAGCGUUUCCACUGGAAAAUGGGAAGCUUUGCUUCCAGAUCCUCAGAUCCUCAUUUCCUAAGAAGGUUCCUGCUCAGCAAAUGGUAGUGAAGGCAGAGAAAUGAGGACAAGCAGACAUGUCAAGGCUGUUGAUCUACACUGAGCUCUUCUGGGACAAUUACCAGAUGAACUUAGCAACAGUGAUCCUCGGAGUUACUCCUGUGUGUUUAAAUCAAGAUCAACUACUUCCCUCCUUGCACAACCGAAAAGGACUCCAGAAGACGUGCUGGCAAGGUGCCAGGCGCAGCCUUAGACAAAACAUACCGGACCUUGAGUUUAUGGGUUUCACCAUUCUAGAACAGACAAAGUCAUUUUAGAGUUUGGCAAAUGGAGCAAAGAGGAUCCAGAUUUCUUCUUUUCCCCCCUUUCAUCCCAGAAUCCAUUACUUCCCAUUGAUAGGCCAUAAAAGUCAUCACUGCCCAAGCAAACAUUUUACCAGAUGUUUCCCUUCUAGCCUAAUGGAGUAGAAAGAACCUUGGGCUUCAAAGGUCUGGGUGUGAGUUCCAAUUCCAUUACUUACUGAUUAGAAAGUUCCACUAGAUUUUCAAAUCCUAGUUAAUGCCAAGUAUCCACUAGUAUCCUUCCACUGAUUCCCACCCUCAAUUCUAUUGCUUUUUGUGUUUUGUUUGUUUAAACCCAUACCUUCCAUCUUAGACUCAAUACUGAGUAUUGUUUCUAAGGCAGAAGAGUGGUGAGGGCUAGCAAUGGGGGUUAAAUGACUUGCCCAGGGUCACAUAGCUAGGAAGGGUCUGAGAUUACAUUUGAACCCAGGACUUCCCACCUUUGGGCCUGGCUCUCAGUCCACUGAGCUACCCAGCUGCCCCCUCUAGUGCUUUUGCUGUUCUUUCUUUACUAAAGGUUAGUAUUCCAAAGGAUUAUCAUCCAUGACCUUUCCCACUCAGUAUUAGAUGUUGACUUCAAACAGGCACCGCACAGGAGUUUCUAUCCUGGUUUGUCAGUGGUCCUGGCACUGGGGAGUGAAGAGAGCCCCAGAAGACCUAGUUUGAAUUCUAGUCCUGUCACUUAUUAUGCCUGUGGACAAGUUCAUUUGCCUACCUCCCUCACUUUAGUUUCUUCAUCUGGGACGGGAAAGAAUUAGAUUCAGCUAUCAACAAAGCCCCUCCCUUCUGAAUCCUCUGAUUUCUCCCCAAGGACCUCAAACCUAGUUUAGGAUUCAGAGAAGAACUAGGGAAAAAAGAGGAAAUAGAGGUGAGAGGUGAGGAAUGGGAAUACCACAGACACUACCCUUUAUGACAGGCUUUCCAGCUACCCACGAUGGAGCCAUGAUAGAAGGAUUUAGUUCAAUCAAAUUCCUCAUUACAACAAGCUUUGAAAUUUUUUUUAAAAGGUCAUUUUUUUGAACCCUUAUUUUCUGUCUUGGAUUUGUAUAUCACAUAUCAAUUCCAAGGCAGAAGAGGGAUAACUAUUGGGCAAUUUGGGGUUAAAUGACUUGCCCACAGCCACACUUCUAGGAAAUGUCUGAGAUCACUUUUGAACCCAGAACCUCCUGUCUCCAGGCCCCAAUUUCUAUCUACUGAAACACCUAGCUGCCUCUUUGUUUGUCUAGCUUUUGCCCUUCUGUCUUAGAAUUAUUAAGACAGAAAGUGAGGAUUUUAAAGACAGAGAGAGUGAGCAAGAGAGGGAGAGAGAGAGGAGGAGAGAGAGAAAGAGAGGGAGGAA